GUUUUAAUAGUUUAACCAAAAACAUUGGUCUUGUAAACCAAAAUUAAGGAUUUCUUUUAAAACU
rnacentral:tRNA from 1 species